rnacentral:rRNA from 1 species
UUAAAUUUUCAGAACUGUGCAGUGGUUAACAUCUUGAAAGGGGAAGUGAAUGGUGCUAAGCUGAUGGAAUUACUAUCUGCUACCUUCUGUAAAACUAAACAUUGGCCUUGGCAAAUCAGAGGGUUGUCUAGUAAGACCUUUUUGGUCAGGUUUCCUCCCUGGAAGAAAGUGGAAGAUCUUAUUGAGCUGCCUGGGUUCUCCCUGCCACAUGAUGUCAAUGUGACUCUAACUAAAUGGAAAGGUGGGUGUGAACCAUUUGGUGAGUUGAUUGAAUCUUGGGUUUUGAUUGAAGGGAUUCCCCCAAAGUGGUGCACUUGGAAAGUAUUUGCUCAGAUUGCUUCAUUGUUUGGGGUACUUACAGAUGUGGACUGGAAUGGGAUGUUCAGAACUAUUUUUGAGAAUGUCAGAGUUAAGAUAGCUUGCAGAGAUCCAACCAAAAUUUCUUUUGAAAGACUGAUUGAAAUGAAGAAGAAGCUACUUUUGCUUGGCUUUACCAUGGAGGGUUUUGAACAAACAGGUGGGGUUGAUUCUGUCAUUGAUGUAGAUGGGGAUGAAGAUGAUUUUGAGGAAGAUGAGAAGGCUGAGGAGGAUCAGACAGGAGGACAUGAUGGAACACAGGGUGAACAUGCUUCUGAUGGAUCAGGAGGUAGUGACCUAGCUAUUGAUGAGCUUGACAAAGCCAAUUUCUCAUCCAAACAAAACUCUUCAAACAAGUUUGGUACUCAGAGGAUGGUGGUUGCACCCAUGAGAGAUGAUGUAGAUACUGACCAGGAAGAAUUUAUUCUGAAGUGUGCUUUGUCAACUGUUAGCCUUGAUAGUUCAUCUUCUGAUGGACGUGAACAUGUUCCUGGGCAUGUGAGUAAGCUUACAACUCAAAACUUGAACUGUGAUGGAAAAGAAGGGGGUGCUAUCUACAAAACUCCUGCUCCAACUAAUGGAGAUUCUGCAAACAUAACUCCUGAGAAGAACACUGAGAAUAUGGAAUAUUGUGAGGAUCUAUUGAGAUCAGUGGACAUAUGUGAUUCUGAAAAUGAGGAAACAUAA